AUACGGAGGGUGCAAGCGUUACUCGGAAUCACUGGGCGUAAAGCGCGCGCAGGCGGCCUGAUAAGUUGGAUGUGAAAGCCUACGGCUCAACCGUAGAACUGCAUCCAAAACUGUCAGGCUAGAGUGUGGGAGAGGAAGAUGGAAUUAGUUGUGUAGGGGUAAAAUCCGUAGAGAUAACUAGGAAUACCAAAAGCGAAGGCAAUCUUCUGGAACAGUACUGACGCUGAGGCGCGAAAGCGUGGGGAGCAAACAGGAUUAGAAACCCCUGUAGUCC
rnacentral:rRNA from 1 species